GAUGAAUGCUAGCGGGAGGCCUAAUACAUGCAAGUCGAACGGUAACAGGUAGCAAUACGCUGACGAGUGGCGCACGGGUGCGUAACGCGUACACAAUCUGCCUUAUACUGGGGCAUAGCCUUUGGAAACGAAGAAUAAUUCCCCAUAAUAUAUAGAAGAGGCAUCUCUUUCAUAUUAAAGCUCAGGCGGUAUAAGAUGAGUGUGCGUCCGAUUAGGUAGUUGGUGAGGUAACGGCUCACCAAGCCAACGAUCGGUAGCUGGUCUGAGAGGAUGAUCAGCCACACGGGCACUGAGACACGGGCCCGACUCCUACGGGAGGCAGCAGUAGGGAAUAUUGGACAAUGGGCGCAAGCCUGAUCCAGCCAUCCCGCGUGAAGGAUGAAGGUCCUCUGGAUUGUAAACUUCUUUUCUUCGGGAAUAAAAACUGGGGUUCUCCUCAGCUUGAAGGUACCGAAGGAAUAAGCACCGGCUAACUCCGUGCCAGCAGCCGCGGUAAUACGGAGGGUGCAAGCGUUAUCCGGAUUCACUGGGUUUAAAGGGUGCGUAGGUGGCUUUGUAAGUCAGUGGUGAAAGCUCGGAGCUCAACUCCGAAACUGCCAUUGAUACUGCUUAGCUUGAAUCAGGUCGAGGUGGAUGGAAUGUGACAUGUAGCGGUGAAAUGCUUAGAUAUGUUACAGAACACCGAUUGCGAAGGCAGUUCACCAGCCCUGUAUUGACACUGAGGCACGAAAGCGUGGGGAUCAAACAGGAUUAGAUACCCUGGUAGUCCACGCCCUAAACGAUGUAACUCGACCUUAGCGAUAUACAGUUAGUGUCUUAGCGAAGCGUUAAGUUACCACCUGGGAAGUACGUCCGCAAGGAUGAAACUCAAAGGAAUUGGCGGG
rnacentral:rRNA from 1 species